ACGAAAAUCAUUUUCGUACUUUGAACUCAAUGCAUACUUUGUAGGUGAUUUAACCAUUUGUUGGGGAGGGGGUACCAUUUACAAACGAACAUUAUUUUCCUGCUUUGGAUUCAAUGCAUUCUUUGUUGGUUGACUUAACAGUAAAAAAAAUGAAUAAACAAACAAAAAUAUCGGAUAAUUUUCAAUAAAAACGGUUUCCAGAAAUAUGAAAUGAUACAAAAUCAUAUGGAGCUUCUAAGUUUUUGACAGUUUGAGUUUUCAAGAUGGUUUAGCACAUUUAUUACUCUUCUUUCCAGACACACAGAUACCGACAUUGUGAUAAACUUAACAAACUUUAAUUGAUGAUUAUCCAAAUUCUAAAAACAGAUAAAAGAAUUGUAUGGGUAUACUUUUGCCAGAAAUAACUGAAAGAGACAGUUUAUAUCUCAAAUUCUGAUAAAGCGAUGGUCUUGUAUCGUAGAUCCAACAAAAGCUAGCCAGGUGACCGAGUGGUUCAAGGUUCAAAUACCGGUCAUGGCAAGGAUGUUUUUGUUGUGUGGGUAAUGUUGCUCUCCUCUGUGACUUUUAGGACGCAAGGUGAUCAACAGGCAACGCAAAAUGAGCAACAGUUCCAACAUCUUCCAUAGCGAAGAACUAUAAGUUCAGAGUAGGCUCCUUUUUUUUUAAUAACAGUCGACUCAAUUUCUUUUUGUUUAAGACUACUAAUGUUCAACUCUGUAGCCUUGUAAUUUUGAACCCAAUCCAGAAGACAAGGAAACUCCUCGAUCAGUAUCCAUAGAGAUAUGGGAACAUGGAGGACUUUGAGACUCGACAGAUUUAACGUGCAUCAGUCACCAUUUACUACUCGGGGAGUCUUCAGCCGGCGAGGAUAUUGAACCCAUGACCUCAUGGACGUGGGCCCAGCGUCCUACCAAUCAGGCUAUCCCGAGCCUUCAAUCCACUAUAAGUCAAGAACAAUGUAAGGAUGAAUUUUUAAAGACCUAAUAAAUACUUAUGCCUCAUUUAA